AAGUAAUAUAUGGUACAUUUACAUUAAACUUGUUACAACAAUAAUCUUCAAAAUUUUUCAUUUUUGUGAUGUAGAGCCAUUAUUGUUGCAAUAUUUUUCUUGAGUGUCAUUAUAUCUUUCUAUUCCUUCAUCAAAGAUUGAAUUAGGAUUAUUUUCCAUGUUGUCAAAAUGAAGGUCACAUUUUGCAUGCCCCCUUAUAUAAUUGUGCAAUGCCAUGAGUUGGUACUUGAUUUUUCCUUGCCUGGGUCAAACCAAGUGCAACAGAUUGAACCAAGUCCAACAGAUUGAGGUAUGUUUGCACACAUAGUAACAAACAAAAAACGGUGAAAUAGGGUCAAAAAAGGGGUUUAUGACAAUCCCACUAUGAUGCUUUAAGUUGGUGGUUUAAGGAUAGGAGUUGAAUCAUAAAAUUAGUAUUCUAGUAAACUUAUCUCUUUUUUACAGAGUAAUUGAGUAUUUAUACUAUACCACAUGUUUAGAUGAGUGGGUCCUCUUAUUUUGGUGAAUGUGAGAAAU
rnacentral:lncRNA from 1 species